GAUGAACGCUGGCGGCGUGCCUAAUACAUGCAAGUCGAGCGAACAGACGAGGAGCUUGCUCCUCUGACGUUAGCGGCGGACGGGUGAGUAACACGUGGAUAACCUACCUAUAAGACUGGGAUAACUUCGGGAAACCGGAGCUAAUACCGGAUAAUAUAUUGAACCGCAUGGUUCAAUAGUGAAAGACGGUUUUGCUGUCACUUAUAGAUGGAUCCGCGCCGCAUUAGCUAGUUGGUAAGGUAACGGCUUACCAAGGCAACGAUGCGUAGCCGACCUGAGAGGGUGAUCGACCACACUGGAACUGAGACACGGUCCAGACUCCUACGGGAGGCAGCAGUAGGGAAUCUUCCGCAAUGGGCGAAAGCCUGACGGAGCAACGCCGCGUGAGUGAUGAAGGUCUUCGGAUCGUAAAACUCUGUUAUUAGGGAAGAACAAAUGUGUAAGUAACAAUGCACGUCUUGACGGUACCUAAUCAGAAAGCCACGGCUAACUACGUG
rnacentral:rRNA from 1 species